rnacentral:rRNA from 1 species
UACGUAGGGUGCGAGCGUUGUCCGGAAUUACUGGGCGUAAAGAGCUCGUAGGUGGUUUGUCGCGUUGUCCGUGAAAACUCACAACUCAAAUUGUGGGCGUGCGGGCGAUAGCGGGCAGACUGGAGUACUGCAGGGGGAGACUGGAAUUCCUGGUGUAGCGGUGGAAUGCGUAGAUAUCGGGAAGGAACACCAGUGGCGAAGGCGGCU